GAAAUUGGAGCUUAUAAUAAUACUAGGGGAUUUUUUGGUCGCAUGCAGUUAUAAUUGUACUACAGUUUUACCUGGAUGUAUAUCUAAAUUCAACGUUUGUUUUGAUACAUUUAAAUUCAACUACUAUAGUUGUAACUGCAUGAGAAAACUCAAGAAUUACGCCUAAAUUGCCUGCAGUUUCAACUAUAAUACUUUUAAAAAAUAAUUUAAAUAAAAAUAAAUUUACCUUCCUAAUAACCUUUUAAAUAGUGUUUUUUUAUCCUUUCCUACAUCGGGGGUAAUCUCUUAUUACCCCAUAUAUUAAAUGACAGAAAUACGUAAAUGCACUUCUCAACAGCCGGCAACCAAACAAAGUAUUUAUAGCUACAUCGCUUUUUAUUACAUGUAACCAAACAAAUAUAUAUAUAAUUAUAAUUGCUGUAUUUUCGCUGCAUGCAUCUCUAAUUACAAUGUAAUUAUAAGAGAAAUGAUUCGGUACUUUUUUAAAAAAAAAAUAAAAAAGAUCUUAACCGUUGAUUAAUAGAGGGUAAAAAUGUAACUUUAAUACUUAGCAGGUAAAAUGAUUAUUUUAUUCAAGGUUAGUUUGGUAAUUAAAUACUACAAUAUUUUAAGAAACUUUUAAUUGAGGUCCUAAAUCUAUGC
rnacentral:lncRNA from 1 species